rnacentral:rRNA from 1 species
AUGGCUGCGAGCGGCGUCGACCUCAUCGGCGCCCUCCCGGACGAGAUCCUCCACCACCUCCUCUCGUUCCUCCCGGCGCAGGAGUCCGUGCGGACGUGCGUGCUCGCCAGGCGCUGGCGCCACCUCUGGAGGCUCACCACGGGCAUGGGCAUCGUCGGCGUCGACCGCACAGGGUCCGUGAAGCAGCUCCUGCCGUCAUGCACCACCUCCUCGUCCUCCGUGAGCGCACGAGCCUGGACUAUUUUGAAAUCAAGUUGA